UGGUUGCUUGCAAACUGCUGGAGACUGGCGAACGGGUGAGUAACGCGUAGACAACCUGCCUUUAGUUGGGGAUAACACUGCGAAAGUGGUGCUAAUACCGCAUAAUGCAGCGGGGCCGCAUGGUCACAGUUGUUAAAGCCUUCGGGCGACUAGAGAUGGGUCUGCGUGCUAUUAGCUAGUUGGUGCGGUAACGGCGCACCAAGGCGAUGAUAGCUAGGGGGUCUGAGAGGAUGAUCCCCCACACUGGGACUGAGACACGGCCCAGACCUCUACGGAGGGCAGCAGUGAGGAAUCUUGCGCAAUGGGCGAAAGCCUGACGCAGCCACGCCGCGUGUCGGAAGACGGCCCUAUGGGUUGUAAACGACUUUUACCAGGGAAGAACAGGGGGGUUUCGAUCUCCUAUGACGGUACCUGGUGAAUAAGCACCGGCUAACUCCGUG
rnacentral:rRNA from 1 species